CGUGUAGGCGGUCAGGUAAGUGGAAUGUGAAAUGCCCCGGCUCACCCGGGGACCGGCAUCCCAAACUGCCUGGCUUGAGUAUGGGAGAGGAUGGAGGAAUUCCUGGUGUAGCGGUGAAAUGCGUAGAUAUCAGGAGGAACACCGGUGGCGAAGGCGUCCAUCUGGCCCAAUACUGACGCUGAGGCGCGAAAGCUAAGGGAGCAAACGG
rnacentral:rRNA from 1 species